GACGAAGGGGGCUAGCGUUGCUCGGAAUUACUGGGCGUAAAGCGCACGUAGGCGGCUUGUUAAGUCAGGGGUGAAAUCCUGGAGCUCAACUCCAGAACUGCCUUUGAUACUGGCGAGCUUGAGUUCGGGAGAGGUGAGUGGAACUGCGAGUGUAGAGGUGAAAUUCGUAGAUAUUCGCAAGAACACCAGUGGCGAAGGCGGCUCACUGGCCCGAUACUGACGCUGAGGUGCGAAAGCGUGGGGAGCAAACAGG
rnacentral:rRNA from 1 species